AGAUAGGUUGUGCAGUAGAGAUCUCUGUCAUUCCUCUGUGUUGCGUAACUCUGGUAUAUGGUGAGGAGUGUAUAUAGUCGCUUAGGUUUACCCCAGAAUUGGCCCGGGGGGGGGGCUGUUAUGCUACCGUAUGGGUGUCAAUGUUGCGGUCUACGUCAGUGUCCCUGGUUUCCUAUAUCUCCGCUCUGCCCCUCAUCCCCGUUGACCAAUCGUCUUUGUGGCUAUACCAUCGUUUGCUAGUUCUAGUACGUUAGUUGUCUACAAUUGAAAGGUUUCGCAGAGUUAAACUGUGACCCUCUAUGUAUUCUUUUGUCCUCGCUUGGUUUCGUGAGUUUCGGGGUGUGUUUGUCACAGAGAAGAAAGGGAAGAAAGUUCUGAGACCUGUUGGUCCUGUGCAGGGGAAAAAUAGUGGUACUAGGGCUAGGGUUGG